UACGGGGGGGGCAAGCGUUGUUCGGAAUUACUGGGCGUAAAGGGCUCGUAGGCGGCCAACUAAGUCAAACGUGAAAUCCCUCGGCUUAACCGGGGAACUGCGUCUGAUACUGGAUGGCUUGAGGCCGGGAGGGGGUAGCGGAAUUCCCAGUGUAGCGGUGAAAUGCGUAGAUAUUGGGAGGAACACCAGUGGCGAAGGCGGCUACCUGGACCGGUACUGACGCUGAUGCGCGAAAGCGUGGGGAGCAAACAGG
rnacentral:rRNA from 1 species